CCUACGGGAGGCAGCAGUGAGGAAUAUUGGUCAAUGGACGAGAGUCUGAUCCAGCCAAGUAGCGUGAAUGAUGACUGCCCUCUGGGUUUUAAGCUUCUUUUCUCUGGAAAUAAAAUGUUCCACGUGUGGGAUUUUGUAUGUACCAUAUGAAUAAGUAUCGGCUAACUCCGUGCCAGCAGCCGCGGUACUACGGAGGAUCCGAGCGUUAGCCGGAUUUAUUGGGUUUAAAGGGAUCGUAGGUGGAUUGUUAAGUCAGUUGUGAAAGUUUGCGGCUCAACCGUAAAAUUGCAGUUGAAACUGGCAGUCUUGAGUACAGUAGAGGUGGGCGGAAUUCGUGGUGUAGCGGUGAAAUGCUUAGAUAUCACGAAGAACUCCGAUGGCGAAGGCAGCUCACUGGACUGCAACUGACACUGAGGCUCGAAAGUGUGGGUAUCAAACAGGAUUAGAUACCCGUGUAGUC
rnacentral:rRNA from 1 species